rnacentral:tRNA from 13 species
GCGGAUGUGGCGGAAUUGGUAGACGCGCAGCGUUGAGGUCGCUGUGGGGUAACACCCGUGAAGGUUCGAGUCCUUUCAUCCGCACCA